rnacentral:lncRNA from 1 species
UACCCUCCCCCACCUUGCCUUCCUGAGGUCACAGCAUUCAGUCUUGUCACCCCAGAGCUUGCAGUAACUGCUUUGGCCUCAGGCUAAGCCAUUGCUGUAUGACACAUGGAAAAAUAAGACAGAGCUACUGCAUGUAAUUUUAGCUCCCUCAGCUCAGUUCUCGGAAGCCCCACCCUUACCUCCCAGGUCUGUUCUGUCCUCUUGGGUAUCUGUCAUUCUUUGCUCUCUGCAUCCCUCAGUCAGCUGCAAGGAUUACCUGCCUCUCUUCUGUCUUCAAGGCUCUCUGGUCUCCUGCAGGGGACAUGGCUGGCUAGGAUUUCAAGUUGUAUUUUUUAAAUAUAACGUGUGAGGGAUUUGACAUGUAGGAGGAAGGGAUCCUGCUCCUGUGGCCAUUUGUCUUCCCUGAUUUAACAACUCCAGGAAACAGCU